GUUUGUUUACGAAGGCUGGUUACACCGUUUGGUUUUAGACCACUAGGACCCGGGUUCGAUUCCCGCAUUGGACA